rnacentral:lncRNA from 1 species
CAAAUUGGGAAAUUACGCCAACAACUAAUGCAUUGAGGACAUAUCCGAAGCAGAUGACGGAGAAGACAAAAUACCUAUUAUGUCAAUAAUUGAAGGACUUAUUCAACUUGCACCAUUGCAAUUAUUGCAACCAAAAAGAAGAUAUUCCUACAGUUUAUCUUCCACCUACUAUGGAAAAAGACAAAGAAGAAGAAGAAGACAAAGAGCAAAAUAAAGACUAAAAGUGCUUUGUAAAAAGUCUAGUAAUUUUCAAAAAAUGUAGUAUUUUAGUUUAGUCUUGUUAGGCUAGUAUUUUAGUCUUAUUAGGCUAGUAUUUUUCAAGAAAAGUGUUUGUCAUGUU